AGGGAUUUAGGUGUGAUCUAGACCAAGGGCCUUCAAAGCCCCAAGCGGGAGUUAAAGCCUCCUAAUCCCUG
rnacentral:tRNA from 1 species